rnacentral:rRNA from 1 species
UUUAAAGAUGAGACCAUCAUGAAAUUAUCUGAUCUCAAAAGCUAAGCAGAGUUGGGCCUGGUUAAUACUUGGAUGGGAGACCAUCAUGAAAUCAAGCAAACUGUAACA